CGUUGCUGUGGCAGGUGGAAGUAUUGUGAGCUUUGCAGUCAUCUGGGAUGUGUCUGCUGAUGCAGCUGUACCAGUCAUCCCUUUCCAAGCAAGAACUUGCUGACAGUGUCAGGCAAUAUUCAUCACAUUCAAUCUUCAGGACAUUUGGGGCUUUUUCUGUCACUGGGCGACUCACCUUCAUGUCUGACACAACCAAUGUGUUUUUCAGUUGGUAUUUGCCAUCCUUCUGGGGAUAUGUGUACAGCAGAACAUCAUUCAUCAAGAACAAGUGCCGAGGGUGCCUGUUUUUUCCAGAGACUUUCAUCAGCGUUCCCUCUUU
rnacentral:lncRNA from 1 species